rnacentral:rRNA from 1 species
UCCGAAGGGGGCUAUCGUUGUUCGGAAUUACUGGGCGUAAAGCGAACGCAGGCGGAUUGAUAAGUCAGGGGUGAAAUCCCGGGGCUUAACCUCGGAAUUGCCUUUGAUACUGUCUGUCUUGAGUCCGGGAGAGGUGAGUGGAAUUCCUAGUGUAGAGGUGAAAUUCGUAGAUAUUAGGAAGAACACCAGUGGCGAAGGCGGCUCACUGGCCCGGAACUGACGCUCAUGUGCGAAAGCGUGGGGAGCAAACAGG